rnacentral:tRNA from 1 species
CCUCCUUUCUAGGGAGUAAUCCCGACACGUGUGUCGGGAUAUGGUCAAACUCAAAAGCGACCGCGCAUACCAAAUAUUUUUGGGCUUGUAGCUCAGUUGGUUAGAGCGCAUCUCUGAUAAGGAUGAGGUCCGUGGUUCGAAUCCACGCAGGCCCACGCUGAGUUGCUUCGAAUCUUAUGGGGCUAUAGCUCAGUUGGGAGAGCGCCUGGUUUGCAACCAGGAGGUCGUCGGUUCGAUCCCGGCUAGCUCCACAACAGAUUUUUGAAAGUUUUAUCUUUUUAAGAUAGACAUAGGGAGAGCGUCCCGAUUUUACAUCGGGAAGGUCGUCGGUUCGAUCCCGGCUAGCUCCACAACAGAUUUUUGAAAGUUUUAUCUUUUUAAGAUAGACAUAGGGAGAGCGUCCCGAUUUUACAUCGGGAAGGUCGUCGGU